ACUAUUUUGUCAUGCGAUAUGAACUACUAAGUUGAAGAUCAAGGUGGAAUUCGCUGAUAUUAUUCUGGUGAUAUAUUAUAUUCGGAAGGAUAUCCUUAUUUAAACCAGAGGUACUAUGGAAAAUUUGUUAGUGUUCUAUGGGCACAUCGUACGUGAGGGUCCUUCUGGUGUGGAUGUGUCUAGGUGCGGGAUGACUACGGUUGUAGUGAAAGACAUGGUUAAUGUAGAGUAUGCGGCAGUUAGAAGGUGCAUCCGAUCGGUGUUUGGUUCAGCGAUGAAUGGAAAAAAA